rnacentral:rRNA from 1 species
UACGAGGGGGGCGAGCGUUGUUCGGAAUUAUUGGGCGUAAAGGGCGCGUAGGCGGCAUGCCAAGCGUGUGGUGAAAGCCCCGGGCUCAACCUGGGAAUUGCAUUUGAGACUGCUCUGCUCGGGUGCGGAAGAGGGAAGCGGAAUUUCCGGUGUAGCGGUGAAAUGCGUAGAUAUCGGAAGGAACACCAGUGGCGAAAGCGGCUUCCUGGUCCGACACCGACGUUCAGGCACGAAAGCGUGGGGAGCAAACAGG